CCAGUAGCAAGGAAGGAAUUAAUGCCACAGAUUAAGCGGGAGGACAUGCUGACAGCACAGGAACUAAAUCAACCAAAAAGCCAUUGCAAUGGUUGGAAUUGCUGGUGUUGGAGAGUUCUGCCUCUGUCUGUAUGGAAAGAGGAGGAUAAAAAUAAACCCUGCAAACAGAGAGAGCUGUGGGGCUGCUGAUGGAAGAAAUGCCCUCAUCCAGGUGUUCUCCAACUCCAGUUUUCCUCCAUCACUUCCUGAGGGAGCCUUGGGAACCUGGGCUCAGUGGCUGACCUGUGUUCAGGGGAAGCGAUCCCAUGGCAGGGAGGGUAAGGAGGAUUCCUUAUAUAUUAUAAAAAGAAGUUUAACUUAAAAAUCACAGAGAAAUCACUGAGUUCCAGCAGAGUGAGACAUGAGAAGAGACUGACUGUGGCAUUUUCAGAGCUGUGUCUAAGCCUUUAUCAAAGAAGGUUGGAGGGAAUCAACCUGGUCUGUGAGAAGAAUGGAUCUGGGUCAUUUCUCCCUGUCCUGCCAUGCCCAGAUUUCACAGCUGGGGAGGUAAAGGACAGGGCCUGACCCUCAGUGUUUGAUUUUCACCUCCCUCAGCCCUGACAACAGGGCAUUGAUUACAUUAAUUCUGCUUUAUCUCCACAAAAACCCACUGACCCUGACCUGAUGGCUGAGUAGGUUUUUCCACAAGCGCUUGGCAUUGCUUUUCCUGGCAGUGCUGUGACAGCCUUUGGGAUCAGAUUGUGGAUUUCCUGCCCCACCUGCUGCUCUCAAGGCACUCAAUAAGGAUUUAUUAUCCCAGCAAAGCCCUGGGAGGAUCUGGUGAGUUCUGCUCCAGUUCAGUCUGGUUCCCUGAGCCCCUCAGUAAAGAUAAUUCCUUACAUCUCUUAUCUUGCUCAGCAAUUGCCCUCAGGAAACGAUAACCCUGGCAAGAUUCCUUGUGGUUUUGCAAAAGGAAAGAAAAUAUUUGUUCAUUCUCAGCGGUUUAAAAAGGUAGAAGUGGGUGUGUUAACCACUCUCUUGUGAAGGAAUGGGGGUUUGACCUGCAGGAGGAGGAGCUGUGUGGUGGGGUCAGUACAGGAGACACGGCAGAGCUCUUCCCCAUGGUUAAAAUUACACUGAAUUUCCUCUUUCUCACUCUUCCCUGUGAACCCCCAAAGUCUCAGCAGAACCUCUAGGGAUGGGUGGCAAUUUAAGGACCGUGAAAUGUAAAUAAAUCUUUGUUUUUCCUUCCA
rnacentral:lncRNA from 1 species